AAUAGAUACCCGGGUAGUCCACGCCGUAAACGAUGAGUGCUAAGUGUUGGAGGGUUUCCGCCCUUCAGUGCUGCAGCUAACGCAUUAAGCACUCCGCCUGGGGAGUACGGUCGCAAGACUGAAACUCAAAGGAAUUGACGGGGGCCCGCACAAGCGGUGGAGCAUGUGGUUUAAUUCGAAGCAACGCGAAGAACCUUACCAGGUCUUGACAUCUCCUGACCGCCCUGGAGACAGGGUCUUCCCUUCGGGGACAGGAUGACAGGUGGUGCAUGGUUGUCGUCAGCUCGUGUCGUGAGAUGUUGGGUUAAGUCCCGCAACGAGCGCAACCCUUGGUUCUAGUUGCCAGCAUUCAGUUGGGCACUCUAGAGCGACUGCCGGCGACAAGUCGGAGGAAGGUGGGGAUGACGUCAAAUCAUCAUGCCCCUUAUGACCUGGGCUACACACGUGCUACAAUGGAUGGUACAAAGGGCAGCGAAGCGGCGACGCAUGAGCGAAUCCCAGAAAACCAUUCUCAGUUACGG
rnacentral:rRNA from 1 species